UUUUCUGUUCAGUGUACUUUGGGCAGCCAUGCUGACGGCCUCAGUGGCAAAGGCUCCAUGGGUAGAGAUGGUGAUGCGGAGAUCAACAGCGAGUUCUUGGAUGACCGGAUCAGGGUAUGUGUUGGAUACCUUCUCCAACAGAGGCAACAACUGCUUCAGAACAGCAAAAUCACUUGACUUCAACUACAAAAUGAAAUAAAAAAUGUCAAACCCAAAUUAACAUAGCAAAUUUCAAUAUGACCUGAGCACCAGGAAACAUAUUCUGAGAAAAAAGGGCAGGGAUCAAAUCUUGCUCAUGGUGUAAUCAGUGUAUUGCCUGGGUCCAGCACUGAAUACCAUUUGUUGAAUAAUCAUACCUAACAUUUAUUGAACACUUAUCA
rnacentral:lncRNA from 1 species